CAGCCGCCGCGGGAAUACGAAGGGGGCUAGCGUUGUUCGGAUUUACUGGGCGUAAAGCGCGCGCAGGUGGUUUAAUAAGUCUGAUGUGAAAGCCCACGGCUCAACCGUGGAGGGUCGUUGGAAACUGCUAAACUUGAGUGCAGGAGAGAAAAGUGGAAUUCCUAGUGUAGCGGUGAAAUGCGUAGAGAUUAGGAGGAACACCAGUGGCGAAGGCGGCUUUUUGGCCUGUAACUGACACUGAGGCGCGAAAGCGUGGGGAGCAAACAGGAUUAGAUACCCCUGUAGUCCCUGUCUCUUAUAC
rnacentral:rRNA from 1 species